rnacentral:rRNA from 1 species
AUGUACAUUCCUACAACAUAGAGUUAAUGCAUCGGAUCCAAUUAGAACUCCGCAGUUAAGUGUGCUCAGUCCAGAGUAGCACUGGGAUGGGUGACCACCAAGGAAGUCCUAGUGUUUUACAUG